UCUUCUUGUGUAUGUAGAAUUCCAUAGUGAAUCUUCUACACUGGCAGGUUGGUUGUCAUAGUUUAUUUUAGUUUAUUCUUGUCUUGAAAGCUGUUUAUUUCUGAAGAAUAACUUUGAUGCAGAUAACAAAGUAGGCUGGCAGUACUGAAGUAAGACAGAUAAGACUGGACACCAGAGGAAUUAGCAAAAUGCAGGUUUAUUGUCUGCAGCUUGUCCAGAGGGGGCUUUCACCUGAAACAAAUUCUCUCUAUGAAUGCUGAGUCUAGACAUUUGUUGAGCUUUAUACCCGGUGGUGUGGAAAUGGGAGCCUGGAAGUAUACAUUUUGCAGGGGUCUACGUGAAAGUUAUUUUUUUUUUCUGUGAGUUCUCAGAAGUUACCUAUUGUCUCAUUUCCUAGAACUGUCAGGGGUUUUACAGAUUAUACCACAAAAGCAGAGUACAUUCACUAAGUCCAGGGAUAAAUUCAGUUUUUUCAAGACAGAGCAGAUCAACAGAAAAUAGGGUGUAUAACAACAUUUGAGUCAUUUUGUAGAGAUCUUAGCUAAUACAUUGUAAACAAGAACAGUUGUGGUGAAGGUCUCUGGGGAAGCUUAAUGAAGAUGCAUUUGUGGAAGAGGGGGUGCCACUGUAAUAUUUCUAUUUUAGUGCUUGACAUAUAUUAUUGCAUGUCCUGCUGGCCCUUAGAGUUAUCCAGAUGCAUUACCAUUUACCAAUAACUUGGUGCUUCUCUCUUGAAUUUGUAAAAAUCUUUCUUUGCUCGGAAUUUUGGCAUUUUAACCAAAAUAUAAUGUAG
rnacentral:lncRNA from 1 species